CCAGUCAAAGCAAGUAUCGUGUUACUCUAUUCCAGGGACCCUGAAUGCACCACCUUUCUGUAUGAACAACGGGGACACGCUUGAGCUCCGAAUCAAUCAUUUCACAGGAAAUAUCUUCUUAUUCUAUAAGGAGGCAGCAGGGUGCUGUCAGGAAGCGGGCCCUUUCCAAAUGACUCGUUCCGGGGCAUCCAUCCUGCAGAGAGAAGACGGAGAGGGAGCAAGAAGUCGUUUCCAAUUCUCCUCAGCAGGAGAAUCAGCAGUGUGUCCACAGCCAAGGUUAAUGGAGACAGUGGGAUGGAGGAAAGACAAAGAGACAAAUAGACACACACAAGAUGGAAUAGUGCCAAGGACGCUUGAUGUGACGGCCACAAUGUACCCCCCGCCUUCUCAAUUUUAC